UACGAAGGGGGCAAGCGUUGUUCGGAAUUACUGGGCGUAAAGGGCGCGCAGGCGGCAUACGUAGUCAGGCGUGAAAUCCCCGGGCUUAACCUGGGAAUUGCAUUUGUGACUGCACGGCUAGAGUGUGUCAGAGGGGGGUAGAAUUCCACGUGUAGCAGUGAAAUGCGUAGAUAUGUGGAGGAAUACCGAUGGCGAAGGCAGCCCCCUGGGAUAACACUGACGCUCAUGCACGAAAGCGUGGGGAGCAAACAGG
rnacentral:rRNA from 1 species